rnacentral:lncRNA from 1 species
CAUCCAUCUGUCCUCUAUUCCUCUCGCUUCAUUUCCUUUCCUCUCUUUUUCAUCCAGUGCACCUCCUCCUUCUCCUCCUCUUGCCCUGCUAAUCACUCCUCUUUCUCGCUCUCUCUCUUUCUCUCUCUCUUUCUCCCUCUCUCUCUCCCUCUCUCUCUCCCUUGUUUCCAUUCUUGCUAAUCAACAUAUUCCACCAAGCGGGAUCCGAGCCAAGCCUUUAAGACAGAUGGAUGAUGAUGAAUGGUGAGGCAAAGCAGAUCUCUUUCUCUCUCUCUGUUUUGUUGUUUGCCCCUCUCUCUUUCUUCCUCUCUUGCCUUUCUUUCACGUAGACUUGCUUUUGUUUUCUUUGAUUCACUUUUGAAGCUAAUGAGAACGCGCCUUGGGGAGGCAGAUGAUGUGCUUUCAAAUGAUUAGGGCCAAAAGCUACUUCCUUGGCCAUCGGACAUCAAUCAAAGAGAGCCAGUUGGACGCAAACAGAGCUGAGAUUGAAAAGAUAGAAAAGAUGUUCCACUCAGAAGUCGGCUAAGAACCCUACUGCGGGAAAACCAAUGAGGGGCAGUGGCCAACUUGUUAGAGCUUCCACCCCUCGAGUCUCCUCUUCCUUCCCUAUGAUAAUGAUCUAAUGGUGCUUGUAUCUCUAUCAAAAUUCAGGGUUAAGGAGGAUAAAGAUCUGUGAGCAGAGUGACAUGAUGCUUUUGCCUUUGAAGAAACAAAGAUGAGGCCUUUUGGGGAAUCCCUCCAGGACUGUAGAUGGACUCCCCUUGGUCUCAAUUAGACUAUCUUCUGCUCUGCUGUCUGCCUCCCUCUCUGCAUGGUAUCCUGAGGUUCCUUGUAGCACCGCAGGACAGUACUGUCCUUCACCUUUUGAUCCAUGCCGGAUCAAACGCCAGCUGCUCUUUGAUGAUAGCAAAGAUGGUGGUAGUCGUAGGAUCCCAAGGCAUCAGAUCCCCCUCAGUUUAUCAUUGAGAAACCCCAACAACCUGUAGCAGCAGGCCCGCAGUUACACUGUUGACAGCUCUUAGCGGGAGGCGCUGUAAAUAAUGGCCAUCUAGCUGUGGUGAUGCAAGAUGUGGUUGUACAUUUUUCUGGCUGUAACGCCUCUAGGGGUGUUUGAGGAGCUGCUCCACUGGGGACCAAUGUGAUGGAGGCGGUGGAGCUAUGCAGUUUAUGAUUUUUAAUGAUCGAUGGAGGUUUCAGACAACCCACAAAUGCUUUCAGAGGGAAGUUCAAGCACAUGCAGCAGUUCUGGAAAGUCUCCUCUGUACUGCAGGGAAACAAAGACUUUGGUGCACAUGCACUCGCUUGUGUUUUGGUCUGUCGGAUUACAGAUGAGCGGGGAAUGAGAGAAAGAGAGUCUAAACAUAGCUGCAACAAACAGUUGUUCCCAUUAUUUAUUCAUGAAACGGUUUUCUUUUAUACACUUGUGGGGUGGCUAUAGAGUGGCAUCUGUGCAUCUCGAGACCAAGUAAAGCAUCUUAGCUCUUGACAGAUAGACGAGUUUGCAGUGAAUCAAGGUGCCCAGAGGAGGAAAUGCUGUUGCCCUUGGUGUCCCUGAAACAUUUCUCUAGUGCCUCAACCGGGUUGAUAUGUUGCAUGUGGUCAGAGGGCAAUUCAGCGACUACUAUCAGAGGCUCCUGAGAUGUUAAAUAGUUGGUCAGUUUAACCAUAAAAUUUUACCAACAUUUUCUGAACUAAAAUGCUGUCCAGACCUGAAUAUCAACCCAAAUCCAAACUGAGGGCACAGAUAGACAAAUCCAUGAAGUACAGCCAAGUAUAAGUGAACCAUCACUUUUAAAACAGUCACUGCUAAAUAAGGGGCAAAAGUUUGCAUUUUGUUUCACUGUUCAAAAAUUUCUAGGUCUCAGGAGUUGCCUGAUUUAAAAUUUGCACAGGUUCACUGCCCUCACCUUACAGGAGGGAAACAUAAAAAUAAGAAAAAAAGAGAAAAACAGCAGCUAAAUUCAUAAAAUGUGUUGAGAUUGUCAGAAAAAAUAACACAAUGUAGACAAAAUUGAUCAUGAAACAGUCAAAAGUCAAACUAUACAUUAAGUUCACUUUCAAAAGUUUGGAAAAUUUCUAAAAAAUCUGUCAAAUAUUAGACACUGCCCACAGAAAUACAAUAACUUAUAACUCAGGGCGAGAUGAAGAGGGCCUGUAUGUGAAGGCUCAAGAUAAAUUCAGCCAAAGUGGAGGUUCAGUGAUGGAUGGACUAUACUGUCUUAAGUCUUCUGACCUUGUGACCACUCAGGUCUUGCCCAAAGCCACUUCCAAAUGUGGACAGCAUGACCUGGGAUCGAAUCUCUGACCUUCCAACUGAGAAACGACAGAUAUAAUACUGUUAGCCUGUUGUUAUUUUUGUGCUAACUAUCAGCUGUAUCAUUGUUUCCAGUAUAGCUGCAUCUGUUUCUGCUGGUCUGCAACACUGAUGAGUACAGCAGCUGUUUGUUUCAGAUGCUGAGCUGAUUGUGAUCUCACUACAAACAAACACUCCAGGGCUCUGUUGAAACACUAAAUUGUACAUUUUCUGCUGACUCACUCAUUACGUAAUAGAGGUUUAUUCAUCAGUAAGUUGGAGAGUAAACUUCUGCAUUGACAUUAAUUUGUAAAUAUUUAGAGCAGACACAUUAUCAUCUGUUCGCCCACGCUGAGCACAUUAAGAUGUUGGAAUUGUGUAUAAAACUGUCUCCUUUCUGUGGGUCUUUGUGACUCUGUUAUGUUCUUUUAUUGGAGUUUGAAGCACAGUUUAUAAGGCCAAUUACCUGAUCUCAUGGGGCCUUGCAGCAGCAGUUUUAGAUUUAAGAAAAGACCCAAAACACAUACAGUAAAGGCACUGUGAGGAGUUUCCAUGUUGUAUUAUUCUGGUGAACGCUCUGGAUGAUAAAAGUAGAACAUUGCUUGGAUGGAGACUACAUUUCCCAAAAGCACCAUCAGCUGCACACUCCAAAAACACAUGUUAAAGAUUGAUUGUGAAUCCAAAAGUAACAUUAGAGCCUGUGCCUCUAAUCAAUUGAACAUUAAUACUCUCCUACCAAGCUUUUAACUGCUUCUAAUCAGUGUGGUAACUUAUGAUCCACCAGAAGUCAUGUGCUUCAGAAUGCAUAGUUUUACAACGCAGGGAAUAAAGCAGCCUAAAGCAAGACAGAAAAAAACAAAACAAAAUAAAAGCAUGAAAAACAAUCAUUUGCUCAGAUAUUGCCUUUCCAAAAGAUUGAUGAUGUAGAUAAAUCAUAAAUCUAAACAUCAUUAAAUAUGUAUGAUAAGUCAAUUUUAAGAAGUAAGGUUUUCAAGAUUUCCAAAAUUCUUAUCAUCGUUAUCGUAUAUUUGAUGUCCACAAUAACUGUGAAGUGAAAAUCAAAUGUUGUGAUAGCUUUAAUUUGAAGCAAGUUGUUUGUAUUUUGUUCUUGAAAAAGGUCACUUUGAGUAUAAAGUACAAACAUUUUCCCUUUCAAACUGUAGGAAUCUUCUUCUGGCUUAAAUCUCCCUAUACUUUCCAACCCCAGAACUAUAUUAAAUCUUCCAGCAUUACCAGAAGUGGUAUUUUAUACACCUAUAUCACCUUCAAUACUGCGCAAAACUUACCAUCAAUCAUCCAAAUUACAAUAUAUUAAAGCCUCUGACAAAUUGAGGGAGAGAUUAGAAUGAGCAGUUUGGCUGUCUAACACAACACAUGAGGAGAUUUAUGACUAUUAUCAUCAUCUAUUCAGACCUUUUCAUCACCUCAGGUGCUUACCUUCCUGCGCCCUGACUAAUACAGCUCUAGACGGUGGUAUAAAACGAUUACGGCUGAUACGGACAUUUACGGUGCCCACACUCAGACACAGAAGAGACACAGAUACCUGAAGGUCAAGUAGAAGGGAAGGGAGGGGGCUGUCAAUUCCAAAGGACCUUUUGUCAAGUCCUUAUUGAAAUUCAUCAAUAAAAAUGGGCCGCCCUAAGCCUUUUCAGAAAUAAAAUUGUCAUGCUAAUUCAUUUUGAUUGCCACAUUGGACUGGCUAAACAAAAUGAAUGGCGGGGGCCAGAUGCGCCUACCAGAGCGUAACUCUGGAUAUUUCAUAGUGAAUUACCCUGAUCGACUCGCCCCGUGGAUCCUGGUGCAAAUUCCGAUCAAAUGCCCAUAAGUGUGGAAUUCCAAUCACCGCUUUGCUAACUCAUUGAUUUGCAUGCUGAAGAUGCACACAUUAAAAACCUGGAUGAAAAGCUGCACUGCUGACUGGGACCUUUUUUUCCUAAAUCCAUGAAUGAAGAGGAUUUAAAUUUUCAGACCAAGCAUGUUUCUCCUGAUAGUUAAUGAAAAUAACAGUCAGCCAUUUGUGAACCAAGCGAUAAAUAUUCCUCCUUCCUUAUCUUCUGCAGAGCCUUGCGGAGAGUAAAUGUUUCAUUAUGUUUUAUUAGAGUUGACAUUUGUGCUCAAAGAUUAUUCUACAUAUCAACACACCGAAAGUUAGUUGAUUGCUACUCUUUUUGUGUCGCCGAAAAACAGCAAGCGGCUCAAGUUUAAAGAGAACAGAAAGUAGAGGAGGCUCCUGCAGAUGAAACAGCACAGCAGACAGCAGCAUGGAGGAAGAGCGAGUGAAUAACGAGUCCUCUGUGUUGCAUGAGAGACAGGACUCUUGUGGACGAAGAGGGAGGAUACUUUCCAAUGAGCCAUCUGGACAUGUCCCCCCCUGGGGACACGGAGCAAAACAUGCUUGAUCUGUCUGCCUCCCUACCUCCUCUGCUCUCCCUCUCUCCCUUUACUACUCCUCUUCUGCUCAUCUAUCUAUCUAUCUAUCUAUCUAUCUAUCUAUCUAUCUAUCUAUCUGUCUGUCUGUCUGUCUGUCCGUCUGUCUAUCUAUAUAUCUAUCAUUAUAAAAUUAAAAUUUCAGAUUAUAAGAGAACAUUAUUUUGUUGAUUCUACAUCACAAAAAAUGGAUGCUGCCGCAGUUUUACAGUCCGAGAGAAGAUAAAAAUUUGUUAGUGAAUCACACAAUUACAAAAUCUUAACGCUAACACAGGGGUUACAGUAAACACAGUCACCAUGUAUCAGUCUAUCUUAUGAGAGCGGUUGCUGGCACUUCCAUGUCCGUGCUUGGCAGAGGAAAUGUCUUGUUUAUGCACGCCUCCUCUCUAAGUUUACACUCUCUGGACAUCGUGUGUAACAGAGCACCGAAGUGCAACUCUAGCUUUGACGCCCUCGCUCAUCACUGUGUGCUAUAUGAGCAAGUUGGUCAUUCUUCCUUGUGUUAUUAUAGGUCUGGAGCUGCCAUCACUCUCAACAUUUUCCAGCUGGUGGCGUAUGUGCCUUACCCGAUCAUAGUCGUUUACCAAAGAUGACGACACAGGAGCUUCCUUGUCAGAAACCAAGAUGGCCUCUUCCACUGUUGGAGGGUCUAUGGCAGCAUUUUCAACAAAAAAGAAACAAUACCAAACAACUGCACAUACAACGUUCACUGUUCACCUUUGUUAUUCAAUAUUGUUUUAAAGCCACUGUAAGGACCCUAAAGAUGGUGUACAUUUUUGUCUAUUAUUCUAACAGGGAAUUAUUCUAGCAUACUUUGUUUUUGUUUGAACACAGACCUAAUUAAAAAGAAAGUCUGCCAGGAUCUGGGACCAGGAAAACUCAUGAAAAUAUUUGUGUCUGUUGAUUUUGUUUAUUUGGGUUGCAUUUUGAAGCUUUGUCCUUCUUCUUCCUCCAGUUUUAUAAUCUCAGAGUUUCUACAUUUUCAUCUAUUGUCAUUUUCAUAUAAAUAAUGCAGA